rnacentral:rRNA from 1 species
UACGAGGGGGGCGAGCGUUGUUCGGAAUUAUUGGGCGUAAAGGGUGCGUAGGCGGUUCCGCAAGUCCUGUGUGAAAUCUUCGGGCUCAACUCGAAGUCUGCACGGGAAACUGCGGGGCUUGAGUGUGGGAGAGGUGAGUGGAAUUCCCGGUGUAGCGGUGAAAUGCGUAGAUAUCAGGAGGAACACCGAUGGCGAAGGCAGGUCUCUGGGCUGACACUGACGCUCAUGCACGAAAGCGUGGGGAGCAAACAGG